UACGGAGGGUGCAAGCGUUAUCCGGAUUCACUGGGUUUAAAGGGUGCGUAGGCGGUUAUGUAAGCCAGCGGUGAAAUCCCCGAGCUUAACUUGGGAACUGCCGUUGAUACUAUAUAUCUUGAAUGUCGUGGAGGUUAGCGGAAUAUGUCAUGUAGCGGUGAAAUGCUUAGAUAUGACAUAGAACACCUAUUGCGAAGGCAGCUAACUACGCGAAUAUUGACGCUGAGGCACGAAAGCGUGGGGAUCAAACAGG
rnacentral:rRNA from 1 species